rnacentral:rRNA from 1 species
CCUACGGGUGGCAGCAGUGAGGAAUAUUGGUCAAUGGGCGCGAGUCUGAACCAGCCAAGUCGCGUGCGGGAAGACGGCCCUAUGGAUUGUAAACUUCUUUUGUCGGGGGGUAAACGCCGCCACGCGUGGCGUUCUGAGAGUAUCCGACGAAUAAGCAUCGGCUAACUCCGUGCCAGCAGCCGCGGUAAUACGGAGGAUGCAAGCGUUAUCCGGAUUUAUUGGGUUUAAAGGGUGCGUAGGCGGGAGGAUAAGUUAGCGGUGAAAUUUGGAGGCUCAACUUCGUCAUUGCCUUUGAGACUGGUUGGCUUGAGAGUAUGAGAGGUAUGCGGAAUGUGUGGUGUAGCGGUGAAAUGCAUAGAUAUCACGCAGAACACCGAUUGCGAAGGCAGCAUACC